AUGUACACUUUUGUAACGCAGGACUUGUAUUCAGUUUGGACAGGUUUUCCUUCAAGAUUUGCAAACUCUAGCCCUCAUACAACAAAGUUUUCAAUUUAUUCUAUUUUCCAUUAUUUUUUCAGAAAAGAAUUUUGGCAAAUUAAAACAAGGCAAUGGCAUCAAUUUGAAUCAAACUUAGUGUAUAGAAUUCAAGCUCAUGUGUGGAUAUGUUUUUUCUUUGUAUUGCUUGGAAUUUUCUUGUAA
rnacentral:lncRNA from 1 species